GUGCCAGCCGCCGCGGUAAUACGUAGGUGGCAAGCGUUGUCCGGAUUUAUUGGGCGUAAAGCGAGCGCAGGCGGAAGAAUAAGUCUGAUGUGAAAGCCCUCGGCUUAACCGAGGAACUGCAUCGGAAACUGUUUUUCUUGAGUGCAGAAGAGGAGAGUGGAACUCCAUGUGUAGCGGUGGAAUGCGUAGAUAUAUGGAAGAACACCAGUGGCGAAGGCGGCUCUCUGGUCUGCAACUGACGCUGAGGCUCGAAAGCAUGGGUAGUGAACAGGAUUAGAUACCCUGGUAGUCCAUGCCGUAAACGAUGAGUGCUAAGUGUUGGGAGGUUUCCGCCUCUCAGUGCUGCAGCUAACACAUUAAGCACUCCGCCUGGGGAGUACGACCGCAAGGUUGAAACUCAAAGGAAUUGACGG
rnacentral:rRNA from 1 species